rnacentral:rRNA from 1 species
AAUCAACGCUGGCGGCGUGCCUAACACAUGCAAGUCGAGCGAGAAAAGGGGAGCAAUCCUCUGAGUAAAGCGGCGCACGGGUGAGUAACACGUGGGUAAUCUGCCCUGGAGUGGGGAAUAACACCGGGAAACCGGUGCUAAUACCGCAUACGAUCACGAUGUCUGCGGACGUUGUGAUGAAAGGAGCAAUUCGCUCCAGGAGGAGCCCGCGGCUGAUAGCUAGUUGGUGAGGUAAUGGCUCACCAAGGCUACGAUCAGUAUCCGGUCUGAGAGGACGGUCGGACACACUGGAACUGAGACACGGUCCAGACUCCUACGGGAGGCAGCAGUGGGGAAUUUUUCGCAAUGGGGCAACCCUGACGAAGCAACGCCGCGUGGAUGAUGAAGUAUCUCGGUACGUAAAAUCCUUUCGACAGGGAAGAAACCCGCAAGGGUUGACGGUACCUGUAGAAGAAGCCCCGGCUAACUCCGU